rnacentral:rRNA from 1 species
AGUGAACGCUGGCGGUAGGCCUAACACAUGCAAGUCGAACGGCCGCACAGUAAGCGCUUGCUCUUACGGGUGGCGAGUGGCGGACGGGUGAGGAAUACAUCGGCAUCUACUUUUUCGUGGGGGAUAACGUAGGGCCACUUACGCUACUACCGCAUACGACCUACGGGUGAAAGCAGGGGAUCUUCGGACCUUGCGCGAUUGAAUGAGCCGAUGACGGAUUAGCUAGUUGGCGGGGUAAAGGCCCACCAAGGCAACGAUGCGUAGCUGGUCUGAGAGGAUGAUCGGCCACACUGGAACUGAGACACGGUCCAGACUCCUACGGGAGGCAGCAGUGGGGAAUAUUGGGCAAUGGGCGCAAGCCUGAUCCAGCCAUACCGCGUGAGUGAAGAAGGCCUUCGGGUUGUAAAGCCCUUUUGUUGGGAAAGAAAAGCAGUAGGUGAAUACCCCGCUGUUCUGACGGUACCCAAAGAAUAAGCACCGGCUAACUACGUG